GAGUUUGAUCGUGGCUCAGAUUGAACGCUGGCGGCAUGCCUUACACAUGCAAGUCGAACGGCAGCAUGAUCUAGCUUGCUAGAUUGAUAGCGAGUGGCGAACGGGUGAGUAAGUACAUCGGAACGUGCCCUGUAGUGGGGGAUAACUAGUCGAAAGAUUAGCUAAUACCGCAUACGACCUGAGGGUGAAAGUGGGGGACCGCAGGGCCUCAUGCUAUAGGAGCGGCCGAUGUCUGAUUAGCUAGUUGGUGGGUAAAGGCCCACCAAGGCGACGAUCAGUAGCUGGUCUGAGAGGACGAUCAGCCACACUGGGACUGAGACACGGCCCAGACUCC
rnacentral:rRNA from 1 species